UACGGAGGGAGCUAGCGUUGUUCGGAAUUACUGGGCGUAAAGCGCACGUAGGCGGCUUUGUAAGUUAGAGGUGAAAGCCCGGGGCUCAACUCCGGAACUGCCUUUAAGACUGCAUCGCUUGAAUCCGGGAGAGGUGAGUGGAAUUCCGAGUGUAGAGGUGAAAUUCGUAGAUAUUCGGAAGAACACCAGUGGCGAAGGCGGCUCACUGGACCGGUAUUGACGCUGAGGUGCGAAAGCGUGGGGAGCAAACCAGG
rnacentral:rRNA from 1 species